rnacentral:lncRNA from 1 species
CCCAUCCCAUCCCAUGGAUCCCAUCCCAUCCCAUCAUCUCAUCCCAUGGAUCCCAUUAUCCCAUGGAUCCCAUUAUCCCAUGGAUCCCAUUAUCCCAUGGAUCCCAUUAUCCCAUGGAUCCCAUCCCAUUAUCCCAUGGAUCCCAUUAUCCCAUGGAUCCCAUCCCAUCCCAUCAUCUCAUCCCAUCCUAUCCCAUUAUCUCAUGGAUCCCAUCCCAUGGAUCCCAUCCUAUCCCACGGAUCCCAUGGAUCUCAUGGAUCCCAUCCAUCCCAUCCCAUCCCAUCCCAUCCCAUCCCAUCCCAUCCCAUCCCAUCCCAUCCCAUCCCAUCCCAUCCCAUCCC